GCAGGAUAUUAGAUCCCCACACUGCAGCAGCUGUUCUGGCUUGUGUUACAGGAUUUCAGAUGUGAGACCAGUCUGUGCUACCAAGACCAAUGUAUGAUCAGCUGAACAAGAAACACGUGAUACUCCUGUGUAUGGUUGUCACACUACCUGUAAGUGUCGGUAAGCAGGUUUGUACCUUUUCCGAGCUGGCAGAUUCAGCCGGUAGACAUGAUGACUACAGUGGUUACAGAACUGUUGCGAAUCCUGACAACUGUAAGGAGUUCUGCCGAGGGUACGAUUGGUGCGUUGCAGCAGAG